rnacentral:lncRNA from 1 species
CAACCAGGUAAAAGAGAGGAAGUGAAAACUGAAACUGAGGAGGCACAAGAGAAAGUUAUGGAUGGGUACAAUACAAUUGAAGAGGUACAAGAUUCAUUAGUACAAGAACCAGAGACACAUGCUGAAACGCUGGAUACUGAAAAUACAGACACUGAGGUUCCAGAGAUGGAGGGAGAGGGUUCGGCAUCUCAGACAGAGAAUGGUACAGAAACAGGUGCAGGUGACACUGAGAGGCAGCGAGACACUGAUGACGCAGAUCAGAACAUAGAGAGGAGAAGCGAUGGACAGACUGACAGAGAUGAAAGAGAAGACCUAGCAGAUGAGGCUGGGGAUGAUAGGUCAACUGGGGAAAUGGUACAGGAGACAGAUGGCAAGGUGGAUGAUGGGGGCUCUGUUGGUAAGGUGGAAGAUGGAGACAAAUCUAGUGAAGAUAAGGCAGAGGAGGAAGCUACAGAAAAGCUAGAGGUUGAGGAUAGAAUUGAAAAUCUGGGAACAGAAGAGGCAGGGAAACCUGGGGAAGAAGAGACCCAAGGUAGUGAGAAAGAAAAUGAGGAUGGCCAUGAUUUAAGUGCAGAAGAUAAAGAAAAUGAGGACAGUACAGAAAAAGGUGAAGAUAGGGUGAAUGAUGAACAUAACGAAGGUGAAGCUGAAGAACUGUCUAUUGAGGCUGGGAAUAGACAAAAUAAGUCAGAGGGUAGUCAAGAUGUGAGGACACAGGGUAAUGAAAUAGAGGAUGAUAGCCUGAAUGAUGAACAGAAUGAAACAGAAAAUGGAGAACAGGUUAGAAAUAUAAUUAGUGUUGAGGCAGAGGAAGAAGGGCAUGAAAAACCAAACAGUGAGGAUGAUAUUGGAGGAGAAACCAAAAAAGUGAAAGACGAAACAAUGGAAGAUGUGGUUCAGAAAGAGGAAGAAGAAGCAGAGGUGGAGGAAAAGAAGAUAGAUGAGAUGGCAGAGGGAACAGAUGGAAAUUGUGUAGAGAAUGAGUUAGAAACAGGUGAAAAUUUGGUAGAAGAUCCAGAGAAAGAGGUGACAGAUAUGAACAAAAUUAGUAAGAAUACAUUAGAUACAGAGAAUGGAAAAGAAGAGGCAUUUUCUGAUGAAAAUACAGCCCAAAAACUAGAAGUCAACUUUGAGGACCAAAAUGAGGAAUCUGUUUCAAAGGAA